AUCGAAGCAAAGUCAUGUUAGAUGUUAGUAAUUAAUUUUUCAUCCACUUCAAGAACCACCUUAUCUCUCCAUUCACCAAAUCCACCUUAUAUCUCCAAUCUCCAAUUCGCUCCUAAGAGGGAUCGAACCCGGGUCACUUCACUUAAGUGAGGACCCGGUGGCCAGUGGGCUGGCUAAGCCCCCUGGUUUCAACCAUCAGCCUUCUAACUCAUUUUUCUGAAAAUUGUCCUGCAAAGCUUCUCAUUUGCUAAAAAUUGGUGGUUCAGCCGAUUUCUCCUCUCACUUCCUGGUCAUUCGUCUACAGCAGUUGGUAAUUGAAGUUGGAGAUGCAGUGGAGGGUCGAAUGGACGCAUCAAGUCACAUUUUGAAAAAUAUUGUCUUUUCGGAAUUAGUAUAGUGUUUAAAAUUUUGUGUAGCUUAAGUUUUGCAUCUCAAACUAUGUUUUCCUAUCUAGCUUGACUUAUUAAGUUGUGUUUAUGCCAUGGUUUGAAGCUUUAAAAUUCAA